GACGAACGCUGGCGGCGUGCCUAAUACAUGCAAGUCGAGCGAAGUUUUUCUGGUGCUUGCACUAGAAAAACUUAGCGGCGAACGGGUGAGUAACACGUAAAGAACCUGCCUCAUAGACUGGGACAACUAUUGGAAACGAUAGCUAAUACCGGAUAACAGUAUUUCUCGCAUGAGAGAUAUUUAAAAGUUGGUUAUGCUAACACUAUGAGAUGGCUUUGCGGUGCAUUAGCUAGUUGGUGGGGUAAAGGCCCACCAAGGCGACGAUGCAUAGCCGACCUGAGAGGGUGAUCGGCCACACUGGGACUGAGACACGGCCCAGACUCCUACGGGAGGCAGCAGUAGGGAAUCUUCCGCAAUGGGCGAAAGCCUGACGGAGCAACGCCGCGUGAGUGAAGAAGGAUUUCGGUUCGUAAAGCUCUGUUGUUAGGGAAGAAUGUAUAUGUAGUAACUAUACAUGUAAGAGACGGUACCUAACCAGAAAGCCACGGCUAACUACGUG
rnacentral:rRNA from 1 species